AAGUGUAGAAAAAGACCUUUUAGUGGAACAAUUGGAGGCCAAAAAAUUACCCAGAAAUUGUGUGUAAUUUGGGUAACGCACCUAAACCUUAUAAUGCUCUUAAAGCCACAUCAACAUAUGGAAAAAAAGACUGACAUACUUCACACAAUGGAUGCAGACACUGUUGGUGAGAAGUUGGGAAUGUAGGAUAUAGAGGGGAAAUUAAUUUGGAUAUGUAAGCAACAAUAAACUAUUGCUUAUUAAAA